AUGGCGCCGGGCGCGGUUGCUAUGGCGUCGGUUGCCGCGGCGACGACCUGGCGGCUGGUGCUGCUGCUGCUGCUGCUGCUGCUGCUGAGCAUCGGGGGGCUCGGGGCCGCGGACGGCCCGCGGCCCCCCAACAUCUUGCUCCUGCUUAUGGACGACAUGGGGUGGGGCGAUCUGGGCGUGAACGGAGAACCUUCCAGAGAGACCCCAAAUUUGGACCGGAUGGCCGCAGAGGGGACGCUUUUCCCAAACUUCUACUCAGCCAAUCCACUGUGCUCGCCGUCCAGGGCGGCUCUGCUCACCGGACGCCUGCCCAUCCGCAACGGCUUCUACACCACCAACGGGAGGGCCAGAAACGCCUACACGCCCCAGGAGAUCGUGGGUGGCAUCCCGGACGACGAGCUCCUCCUGCCCGAGCUGCUGAAGGGGGCCGGCUACGUCAGCAAGAUUGUGGGCAAGUGGCAUCUGGGCCACAGGCCCCAGUUCCACCCCCUGAAGCACGGAUUCGACGAAUGGUUUGGAUCCCCCAACUGUCACUUUGGACCUUAUGACAACAGGGCCAGGCCCAACAUCCCUGUGUACAGGGACUGGGAGAUGGUCGGCAGAUACUAUGAGGAGUUUCCAAUUGACGUGAAGACCGGAGAAGCCAACCUCACCCAGGUGUAUUUGCAGGAAGCCCUGGAUUUCAUCAAGAGGCAGCAGGCAGCUCAACGCCCCUUCUUUCUCUACUGGGCCAUCGACGCCACUCAUGCGCCUGUUUACGCUUCUAGGCCUUUCUUGGGCACCAGCCAGCGAGGGCGGUACGGGGAUGCUGUCCGGGAGAUCGACGACAGUGUCGGGAAAAUUCUGGGCCUUCUCCAGAACCUGAGGAUCGCGGAAAACACGUUUGUCUUCUUCACAUCUGACAACGGUGCCGCCCUCAUUUCUGCUCCUAAACAAGGUGGUAGCAACGGCCCUUUCCUGUGCGGGAAGCAGACCACGUUUGAAGGUGGGGUGAGGGAGCCUGCGAUCGCGUGGUGGCCCGGGCGGAUCCCUGCCGGCCAGGUGAGCCACCAGCUGGGCAGUGUCAUGGACCUCUUCACCACCGGCCUGUCCCUCGCAGGCCUGGCACCACCCAGCGACAGGGCGAUCGAUGGCCUGGACCUCCUCCCUGCCGUGCUGCGGGGCCGGCUGACAGACAGGCCGAUAUUCUAUUACCGUGGCGACACGCUGAUGGCGGUCACCCUCGGCCAGUACAAGGCCCACUUCUGGACCUGGACCAAUUCCUGGGAGGAGUUCAGACGGGGCGUUGAUUUCUGCCCCGGGCAGAACGUGUCAGGAGUCACCACCCACACGCAGGAGGAGCACACGAAGCUGCCCCUGAUUUUCCACCUGGGACGAGACCCGGGGGAGAGGUACCCCCUCAGCAGAACCUCCUGCGUGGUCUUAUUGGCAAGAGGGACUCUACAGAGGUGAUCGUGGUGAGGGUCAAAAUGAGAUCACCCUGGAUUAGGAUGGCCCUAAAUCCAGGGAGAGUAUCCCUGGGAGACAGAACGGGAUACGGACACGGGAGAGGCCACGUGGAAAUGAAAACAGAGGUGAGGGGAUACGGCCACAGCCAAGGGACACCCGGAGCCCCCGGGAGCUGGACGAGGCAGGAAGAGCCCUCCCCUGGAGCCUCCGAGGGGGCACGUCCCGCCUGUAUCUCGGCCUCCAGCCCCCAGAACUGGGAGGGAAGAGAUUUCUGUCAUCAAGCCCCCUUCCGCGGCCACCGGUUACUGUAGCUCCAGGACACUCACUGGUGGGAGCUGGGAGCCCCUCAGGGCUGUCACACGCCAGGGAGGUCAGGAGCCCAGGGCCGUGUGCAGGUGGGGUCGAGGAUCAGGCUCAACCAGGGGGAGGCUCGGAGCAAGCAGUCUGAGCCCGGCUCCUGACCCCGGAAGUAACUUCAGAGCCAAGACGCAGCAGGACCACGGGAGCAGGUGGCAGGGCCCAGCAUCGGGAAGAGCCGCCCACUGCACCUCUGCUCCACCUGCAGCGGCCUUGACCGGCUCCUGGUCACCCGGAAGUUACGUGCGUCAGUGUGCACCAUCCCCUCGGGCCCUUGUGCCCAUGCUCCCGACAAGGAGACCCAGACCCAGGGUGGGACACAGUUCUGGGAAGAAGAGCCUGGAGCCACCGCCCGGCCCAGAAGGGCUCACGGGCAGACUGAGGGGCCUCCCGGGCUUCCCACGUGCGCUGGCACCACGGUGCCGAGUAAACUGACCAGUCAGCCUGCUGAACGUGGUUUAAGCCGAUCCUUCCCAGUGCGUUUGGCCAGAAUCGCGGAGACCUGCUUUGAGAAGCUUGUGGGUCUGCCCCCGCUCCACGGAUCUGGGCCAAAGGGACCAAGAAGGUGGGGAAGGUGCCAGGAGCCUGCCAGAUCUGGGUCUGCUCGGAGGUGCCCGUGACCCUGGCGGUGCCCUCGGUGGUGCCGGUCGAGGCUCAGGCCCGGUGGAGUGGGGCAGGAGGCCUGGCUGCUGUACUGUCACCUGGCUGUGCCUGCGGCCUCGUUUGUAGGGAAGGUUCCCCGAGGUGCACGCCUGCCGCGGGCCAGUGGCUCCAGCAGGGACGGCUCCUUCAGUCCCCAGGCCCGUUCCUGGCCUACUUGGGUGGCCUGCCUCGGCCUGCCCGGGCCUCCCUGCUUCUGUGACCUGGCGCUCUCACCUCUAGCUUUGCCAGCGCGGAGUACCUGGAUGCGCUUCGCGGGAUCACCCCGGUCGUCCAGCAGCACCAGAAGGCCUUGGUCCCCGGACAGCCUCAGCUCAACGUGUGCAACCAGGCGGUCAUGAAUUGGGCACCCCCAGGCUGUGAAAAGUUAGG